UUUCCGUGGGUGAACCUGCGGAAGGAUCAUUAUCGAAAAGCAAUCCGUGGGGGAGGCCACCGAGCGAAGCUUGGUAGAUCGUAGGGAUUGUCGCUGGCCUUUGGAAACGAAGGCAUGUGCACGUUCCGAGUUCUCCUUAGUCAUCCUUUGCCUUUCCUUUGGAAGACCCUUUCUUCACACCCGUGCACACAUUGUAGGUCUCCGCGAGGGGCUCUAUGUCUUCACAAAACUCUGCGUAUGUCCAGGAAUGUAUCUAAAGCGUCGAGCGGCUCGGCUCCAUGCCCUGUCGCCGACGGUAAAGAACCAGAAUACAACUUUCAGCAACGGAUCUCUUGGCUCUC
rnacentral:misc_RNA from 1 species